UGAAGCUUAGUUGUAGAGCAUCUGCUUUACAUGCAGAACUUCCCAGGUUCAAUCCCAGGCAUCUCAU